rnacentral:lncRNA from 1 species
GGGAAGCAGCAUCCCGUUUCUGCCUUCCAAGGUUGAUACCACUCUGCUCCUCCUGCCUCUCGUAGGACAUUUCUAGAAUCUGUUGGGGUUCCUGAGAGAGAGAGAGCACCUGCCACUGGCAUUGAAAAAGGUAAUAUUUUGUGAAUCUUAAUUUGGGAGGACACAGUCAACUUCAAUUGCUAGCUCAUUUGGGAGACUUAGGAACCAGAGACCAGGACUGUCAUCUACAAGAAGUAUGUAGGAUUCAAG